rnacentral:rRNA from 1 species
CGAACGUUAGCGGCGCGCCUAACACAUGCAAGUCGAGCGAGAAGGAAGCAAUUCCUGUAAAGCGGCGCACGGGUGAGUAACACGUAGGUAAUCUACCUCGAAGUGGUGGAUAACCUUCCGAAAGGAGGGCUAAUACAGCAUGAGACCACGGUUUCGAAAGAGAUUGAGGUCAAAGCGGGCCACUAUACAUAAGCUCGCGCUUCGAGAUGAGCCUGCGGCCCAUCAUGGUAGUUGGUAGGGUAAUGGCCUACCAAGCCGAAGACGGGUAGCUGGUCUGAGAGGAUGAUCAGCCACACUGGAACUGAGACACGGUCCAGACUCCUACGGGAGGCAGCAGUGGGGAAUCUUGCGCAAUGGGCGAAAGCCUGACGCAGCGACGCCGCGUGAGUGAUGAAGGCCUUCGGGUUGUAAAGCUCUGUGGAGGGGGACGAAUAAGGGUUGGCUAACAUCCAGCUCGAUGACGGUACCCCUUUAGCAAGCACCGGCUAACUCUGUG